CACCAGAGAACACACACAGGAGAGAAACCUUAUAGCUGUGGUCAAUGUGGGAGGAGUUUUACCACAUCUAGCGGUCUGACAUUACACCAGAGAACACACACAGGAGAGAAACCUUAUAGCUGUGAUCAAUGUGGGAGGAGUUUUACUACAUCUAGCAUUCUGACAGUACACCAGAGAACACACACAGGAGAGAAACCUUAUAGCUGUGAUCAAUGUGGGAGGAGUUUUGUUCAAGCUAGCCAUCUGACUCAACACCAGAGAACACACACAUGAGAGAAACCUUAUACUUGUGAUUUAUGUGGGAGGAGUUUUGUUCAAGCUAGCAAUCUGACUCAACACCAGAGAACACACACAGGAGAGAAACCUUUUAGCUGUGAUCAAUGUGACAAGAGAUACUCUGAUAACAGAUCUCUGAUCAAAAAGUCAGAAAAUACAUGCAUGAAGAAGUUGUUUCAUGAUAUCACUGAAAUAAUGUCACAAUGUAGAAUGUUUUAACAUUGUAGUAGGAGUAUUUUAAUGAUGUCACAAUGUAGAAUGUUUUAACAUUGUAGGAGUAUUUUAAUGAUGUCACAAUGUAGAAUGUUUUAACAUUGUAGUAGGAGUAUUUUAAUGAUGUCACAAUGUAGAAUGUUUUAACAUUGUAGUAGAAGUGUUUUAAUGAUGUUCUACCUUAUCGUUUACCCUGUUCAAUUGAUUGCAGCAUGAUAUGGAUAUUAGCCUCAGGGGAAAAUCCAGGCUCUGAAUUGAAAUAUUAUUUAACAAAGUGAGUAACAAAAAAAGAGCUGUGUUACACUUACUGCGUUGGUGACCCACUUUAAUCAAAAUGCAGCACUUCAAAAUGUAGCUAGCUGUUUUCUACUAGUUGAAAAAGCUGCUUGUUUAAAAAAAUACAUGUAAUAUAAUAAUUGUUGCAGAUGUUUGUAUUUUCACACAUGAAAGCAGUAUAAUAAAUUGGUCUAUAAUCAAUUUGAUUAA